GAGGCAGCAGUGGGGAAUAUUGCACAAUGGGCGCAAGCCUGAUGCAGCCAUGCCGCGUGUAUGAAGAAGGCCUUCGGGUUGUAAAGUACUUUCAGCGGGGAGGAAGGCGAUAAGGUUAAUAACCUUGUCGAUUGACGUUACCCGCAGAAGAAGCACCGGCUAACUCCGUGCCAGCAGCCGCGGUAAUACGGAGGGUGCAAGCGUUAAUCGGAAUUACUGGGCGUAAAGCGCACGCAGGCGGUCUGUCAAGUCGGA
rnacentral:rRNA from 1 species